CCUUUGUACACACCGCCCGUCGCUACUACCGAUUGAAUGGCUCAGUGAGAUCUUCGGACUGGCCCAGAGGGGUGGGAAACCACCCUUCAGGGCCGGAAAGUUGCUCAAACUCGGUCAUUUAGAGG
rnacentral:rRNA from 1 species